GUGAUUAGUGAUAAUGGCUUUUUUGGCAAGGACUUCCACUAUGAUUGAAAGACUAUUGUGGCAUCUACAAAGAAUGGGAAAAUGAGACGGCUCUUUCCAUCUGGGAUGGUCUCAUUUAAUGCCAUUUUCACAUAUUAAGGUUCUUGGCUCCUUGGAUUCAGCUGCAAUCUGAAUUAGGAUAGCAUAGAUUAGAAGGUAAAAAAAAUUCAAGUGCAUACUCUGAGAUCAAUGAACACAAUUCACAAUACAAAUUCGAAACGGUGUUAAAAGAAACAAUGUUACUUACACUUGGAACCUACUUUUAUCAAAGUUGCUGAUGCAGUUGGCCAGUCCCUUUCAACAUGUCCAUAUAUUAUUAUCUUUCUAAUAUCUAAGGCUUUAAGUGAGAUCCAUGAUCAAAUCCCUCCAUUCAACCGUACUUUAGCAACACAAAUCUUAGAGGAAGAGCUUGGUUCCCUUAUGGAAACCUUCUUCAAUAAUUACAUCUCAGCUAUAUAUUUUGCAACAGAUGACUAAAAUGAAAAGUGAUGUAUGCCUUUGUGCUUAUGAGCUGGGAAAAGAGUUGGUGAGAGGAUAUCUUUUGGAUUUUUGAGAUGACAUUAUGUCUACUUAUGCAUUGCCUAUAAUUUUACUAAAUACCAGGAAAAUAUGUAGGCACUGGAAACCAGAAUAUGACAAGAGGAUUAUCGGCGUAUAAACAGGCAUCCUAUGGGUGAGAUUCUUUCCACUCGUGAUUCUUUUUUAAUUUAUAAAAUGUUGUUUUAUUAUGAUAAUUGAUUCCAACAUGAGUCUGUUGGGUUGGAUGAAAUGGAAAUAUGAAAUGGACAAGGUAAUAGAAUGAGUCAUACAUUCCAUGAUUAUGUUUGGUUGGCAUUCCUAUUAGUUAUGUUAAUCAAGAGUUUGAUGAUGGCUUUAAGCUGCAAAAACACCUCUGUUUCAAGCUACAACUUCGGGUAAGGUAUGUUUGUUUUUUCAUAUAUUUAUUAUUAUUUUUUUCCAAAAUUCUAGCUACAAAU